rnacentral:lncRNA from 1 species
AUGGGAUUAGAGGUGCUGGGGGAAGGAGGGAGGAAGAAGGGAUAGAAUUGGAUCUGUUAAUCCACUUUGGAUAAAUUCAACAGCUUACCCUUAUAUUUGAAAUAUUUAUUUAGCAUUGAGCAGCUCAGUGGUGCCAGUGACUUUGAAGGAAUGAGAGAAGCUCUGAGUCUCCAAAUUGAGAUGGGCUGAGAGCCAAAUCUGGAAAAUCCUUUCAUGGGAGAAAUUCAAUCUCUCCACUAUUUCCUUUUGUUAGGAUUCUGGAUGUCUCCCUUGUUAUAAAAGGAGAGGGCUAAACCAAAUACAACUGAAAAAUGAUGCAACAAAAUGACCUUAUCACCAAAUGAGAGCAUCGCAGGGCACUCCAUGGUUUCUUUUCCUCAGAUGCUGUGCUUCACCAGGGCUUUUAGACGAUUUUAGAAAGCUGUUUUAGAGAACCUUCCUUCUGUGACCAGCUGUAAUAAGGGUUGGGUUGUGCACGCAAGUGCACAUGAUAGACCAAAGAGAGUAGGGAUUUUGACUGGAUGCUGUCUGAAGUCACAAAUUUGAGUUAUGUAUAUAAGUUAAGUUUUUUGCAGCCACAA